UGGGGAAUUUUGGACAAUGGGGGAAACCCUGAUCCAGCCAUCCCGCGUGUGCGAUGAAGGCCUUCGGGCUGUAAAGCACUUUUGGCAGGAAAGAAACGUCAUGGGUUAAUACCCCGUGAAACUGACGGUACCUGCAGAAUAAGCACCGGCUAACUACGUGCCAGCAGCCGCGGUAAUACGUAGGGUGCAAGCGUUAAUCGGAAUUACUGGGCGUAAAGCGUGCGCAGGCGGUUCGGAAAGAAAGAUGUGAAAUCCCAGAGCUCAACUUUGGGACUGCAUUUUUAACUACCGGGCUAGGGUGUGUCAGAGGGAGGUGGAAUUCCGCGUGUAGCAGUGAAAUGCGUAGAUAUGCGGAGGAACACCGAUGGCGAAGGCAGCCUCCUGGGAUAACACUGACGCUCAUGCACGAAAGCGUGGGGAGCAAACAGG
rnacentral:rRNA from 1 species